rnacentral:misc_RNA from 1 species
GAAUGCUUCUCUCCUCCAACAACCUGCCAACAAGGCUUAUAUCAAUUCCUUGCCUAGGCUAAAGCAGUAUGUUACUCGAAGACCAGCGCAGGCAAAAAUAGCAGAAGAACGAUUUCAAGCUUCUUGUUAUAAAUCAUUAUUGGAUCUCUAAGAAGGAAAAGCUGAUACGAGUAAAUAGCACGUACAUCUAAUAAGCAUUAAUGUAUCAAAAGAAAAUCUAAUCUGCAAAGAAAGCUUGAAGAUUAACAGAACAAAGAAAGAACAGAACAGAGUAGCCAAAACCAAGAAUAGCUCGCAAGUUGCAAGUACUAAAAGACAGAAUAAUUACCCUUUCUUCAGGUCCAAAACUGAGUCAAAACAAGAAUCAACCGCAAGAGAAGAUCAACACCAUUUUAGUUACAUCAUAAUCACACCCAUUUGUGGAUUAUAAAACUAACCCACUUCUCAAAUUCGACAAAACGAACAAUAGUCAUAAACGCAACACAAAUUGCAGAAGCAGAGAACAAUUUUCAAGAAAUAAUUCCAAUCCACACAAAAAAUAAGAGAUCUAACAAAACCCACUUUCAAGAAAAUUAGAAAUGACAAGAAACAAUCAGGAAAUAAACUUACCAAGAAAAAACAGAGCCACUAG